rnacentral:lncRNA from 1 species
UUUCCACGUAGCUGAGGAAGCCUCACAAUCAUGUUAGAAGGCAAGAAAAAGCAAGUCAUGUCUCAGCUGGAUGGAAGCAGAGAAAGAGAGAGCUUCUGCAGGGAAACUACCCUUUUUAAAACCAUCAGACCUUGUGAGACGUAUUCAGUGUCACGAGAACAGCAUGGGAAAGACCUACCCCCAUGACUCAAUUACUUCCCACCGGGUCCCUCCCACAACAUGUGGGAAUUCAAUAUGAGAUUUGGGUGGGCACACAACCAAAGCAUAUCAUUCUGCCCCUGGCCCUUGCCUAAUCUCAUUUCAAAACAAAUU